rnacentral:misc_RNA from 1 species
AUUUUGGGAUUCCUAAUCCUAGUACUAGUAGGACUAGUUAUUAUAAAAUAAAUAUCCAUGUCAUCUAGGUAUUUUAAUAGAAAUUAUUAUUGAUAUUGACAACUGGGAAUUAAUAAAAAAAUUUGAGAUUUGUUUAUCUUCCCUUUUGAGUGUUCUUUGUUUUCUACAUCACAUCCACAGUUGGGAAUUGAAGCCAAGGAAAUAUUCUGUACUAAACAUAAAUGAACAAUUAAACAUAAGUUAGAAUCAGAUGUCACUAUAUCUAUCAAGAAUUCAGAAACGUCCCUUCCUAAUUCGAGCAUAUGCUAUAGCUGCAACUGCAGCACCCCCCAAAUGUGCUGAACCUGAAAUAUUACUAUUUCCCUGGAAAAACAAUUUGACACCAAUCAAUAGUGAAGUCACGUUUUAGAUUGGUUGGAUUUAGUUGUUUCCAUAAAUACACGAUCACACAAAAAGAAAAGGUUAGUUGCAAAGAUGAUAACAAAGCCAAAGGAAGAAAAGUAACACACCUCUAAUAUCCUCAAUACAUCUUUCCCCAUUAAAAAGAUUCCCAGUAAGAUGGCAGGAACUGGUAUGAUAAAAUCCAAGUAAAGAGUGGAUCUUGGAUUCAAGAAUAUAUCCAGCAGCAUUAUAGCAUUGACAGCCCCACUAGCCCCCAAUCCUGGAGUUCUUGAAGGGUCCUUCACCCACAUUCCUUGUCCCUUUGUUGAUAAGGCCAUAAAGGCAUGGUGUCCCAAGUAGAACAGUGACCCGCCAAUUGCCCCAGCUAGAUACAACUUUAACAAGUACUCAGGUCCAAAAGUUCUUCCAAUAUUCAUCCCAAAGAAGUAAAGUCCAAUCAUGUUGGAUAUGAUGUGUUCAGUAUCAAUAUGACUGAAUGCAGAAGUAAUCAACGUAUGAACACGUCCACUUUUGAAAUUGUCCAAUGAAAUCAUAAAGUUGUUCACCAUAAAUUUUUUAUCAGCAAUUCGCCAUAACAUAAAGACACCAACAUUGGCUAAGAUCAAACCUAAAACCAUGUCAUUAGCUGAUAUCUGAUAGAACCAUGAUCCCCUGCUACGCCCAUAUGAACCAAAACCUUGAUUGAACCCAGAAUAUCCUCUGGCAAACCGUGCACUGAAAAUGCCAAAUUUGUAAUCAGCAAGCCCUUUGCUUGAGAACUUGAAAUGGGUAUUUGAUAAAUUUGACAUAAAUUUCUUCGAAAGCAAUGGGUUUGACAGAAAGCCAUGAACUUUCGGAGAAAGAGUAUGAUGAUAUUGGCAUGAAUGGGAGCUGUGGGUUCGGCUCAAUUGAGAAAAGCCGAAGAUGUAAUUUUGUUGCUGGUAGCUAUGGUGGGUUGGUUUGGCAAGAAAAGUGAAGGCAUUGUAAUAAGGAUGAGAAAGUGAAGGUGAAGAAUUUGUGCUGAUGGCGAGCUUUUUAGAGAAAUUUGAUGAAGCAAGCUUGAGAGAGAUAAGUCUCUGCAUUUUGUUUUUCC